AGAGUUUGAUCCUGGCUCAGGACGAACGCUGGCGGCGUGCUUAACACAUGCAAGUCGAACGAUGAACCCGCUUCGGUGGGGGAUUAGUGGCGAACGGGUGAGUAACACGUGGGCAAUCUGCCCUGCACUCUGGGACAAGCCCUGGAAACGGGGUCUAAUACCGGAUACCACCCGGGGGCGCAUGCCCUUGGGUUGAAAGCUCCGGCGGUGCAGGAUGAGCCCGCGGCCUAUCAGCUUGUUGGUGGGGUGAUGGCCUACCAAGGCGACGACGGGUAGCCGGCCUGAGAGGGCGACCGGCCACACUGGGACUGAGACACGGCCCAGACUCCUACGGGAGGCAGCAGUGGGGAAUAUUGCACAAUGGGCGAAAGCCUGAUGCAGCGACGCCGCGUGAGGGAUGACGGCCUUCGGGUUGUAAACCUCUUUCAGCAGGGAAGAAGCGAGAGUGACGGUACCUGCAGAAGAAGCGCCGGCUAACUACGUGCCAGCAGCCGCGGUAAUACGUAGGGCGCAAGCGUUGUCCGGAAUUAUUGGGCGUAAAGAGCUCGUAGGCGGCUUGUCACGUCGGGUGUGAAAGCCCGGGGCUUAACCCCGGGUCUGCAUUCGAUACGGGCAGGCUAGAGUGUG
rnacentral:rRNA from 1 species